AGCCCGACCGAUAUAUCGGCCGGCCGAUAUUAUCGGCCGAUAUGAGCUAAUUGCAUUUAAAUCGGCAUCGGCGUUUAUAACGGCCGAUGAAACAUGAAAAAACAGAGUCUCAUGCUUCACUCAUGUUAUGAGUGUUGCAUACUUUGCCCACCAGAGGGCGGUCUGCAACUCCAGAGUUGACAACAGCGCCAGAAAUUCACUACAGAAGGACAGCCAAGCCACCCAGAUACCUGAAAAAGGUGAAUGCUGUAGCAGCAAAGUGUGGGACUACUUCUGCAAAUACUUUAACUUUAGUAUUAUAAUUUAUUUACAGUACACACACAGACUGUUAAAACCAGCUUCAACUGGAAGAAAGUAAAAGUGUUAAAUGUUUAAAACCAGACUGUUUUUUGAUCAUUAAAAAAUAUAUACUUU